CCAAUAUAAAAACACAAACUCAGCAGAGUAAACUCAAUACGAAACCUAUUUCUCUGUCUCUGUCUCUCCUUCAAACGCAAAUUCAACCCCUAAACAAAUCUCUAUCUCCUUCAAACGCUGUCUUUGUCUUUCUGUCUCUGUCUCUCCUUCAAAUGCAAAUUCAACCCCUAAACAAAUCUCUAUCUCCUUCAAACGCUGUCUCUAUCUCUCUUCCCCUGCGACGAUAAACGAAUUCAACUAAGCUACAAAUGCUUUGCCUCACAACCAACGGCUACAGGGCAGCCAAGUAGGUGAAUUUACAGGACAAGUCUGGAACUUUGGUAGAAGAAAGGGUGGUGAAAAUGGACAAAUAUAGCCAAGGCUUUGUGGUUGAGUUUCUAUUUCCUUUGAUAAUUUUGAGAAGCUGCCAAGGCUUUUGGUGUGGGCAUGGGAGGAAACCUUGCCGCUUUUACUUCAAAGUAGUUGUUUUCAUGGUAAAUUUUAAUCAAUCUCAUGCUCAGGUACAUGGAUAGGAGAAUCGUCUAAUACAGGUUUCUUUUAAAUGUGCUAAUAGUAGGAGCUUCUUUACUAUUUUAUUUUCUGCAGGUUAUUUAUAGCUUCUGACAGCGAUGAUAUCUCCACAACUAUACAGUUCAUCAAUAAGGCAAGGCCAUGGAUUACAUUGAUGGUCGUUGGCUGGGAAUAUGGUGCAAACAUGUUGACGAAGUACUUGGCAGAAGCUGGAGAGAAUACAUCGCUUACAUCUGCCAUGUGCAUAGACAAUCCAUUUGACUUAGAGGAGGCUACAGGGUCCUUUCCUUAUCACAUGGCCAUUGGUCAGAAGUUCACUGGUGGGCUGAUAGAUAUUCUAAGAUCUAAUAAGGAAACCCCCAAAUCAAAAACCAUAGCCCCUUCCUAUCAAAAAAGAAACAAAGAAGAAGAAGAAGGAAAACCAUAGCUUCUCAUCCGUUUCUCUCUCCAGUCUCUAUGCUUCACCUUUAGUGCACCUUCUCCUUUGUCUCUACUCCUAAUGAUGGUAAGCGAUUAAAAGUAAAUGAAGAGAUUUGUUUUCUCUUUGUUUCACCUUCAGUUCAAUUGACAACCGAUUUCCUAUUGGUUUUUUGUGAGCUUUGCAGAAUUGGGAUUGAAGGGAGCAAAAUCAAGAUGCCGUGGACGUCCUCUUUUGAUUCAAAUUCAUAAAAGCUUCCUUACUCUCUUUCUCUCUCCAUGUGGCAUGAGGUCAAAUAUUUGUUUUCUCUGUUCUAAAUAACAAUUUAUAGAACUCAAUGUUUUAUGUUAAAUAAAUAUAUGAUGUACUCUUCUAUAUAAUGCAGAUUUGUUGUAUUA